rnacentral:rRNA from 1 species
CUCAGAACGAACGCUGCGGCAUGCCUAACACAUGCAAGUCGAACGAGACCUUCGGGUCUAGUGGCGCACGGGUGCGUAACGCGUGGGAAUCUGCCCUUGGGUUCGGAAUAACAGUUAGAAAUGACUGCUAAUACCGGAUAAUGUCUUCGGACCAAAGAUUUAUCGCCCAGGGAUGAGCCCGCGUAGGAUUAGCUAGUUGGUGAGGUAAAAGGCUCACCAAGGCGACGAUCCUUAGCUGGUCUGAGAGGAUGAUCAGCCACACUGGGACUGAGACACGGCCCAGACUCCUACGGGAGGCAGCAGUGGGGAAUAUUGGACAAUGGGCGAAAGCCUGAUCCAGCAAUGCCGCGUGAGUGAUGAAGGCCUUAGGGUUGUAAAGCUCUUUUACCCGGGAUGAUAAUGACAGUACCGGGAGAAUAAGCCCCGGCUAACUCCGUG